GGACUACCCGGGUAUCUAAUCCCGUUCGCUCCCCUGGCUUUCGCGCCUCAGCGUCAGAAAAGGUCCAGCACGUCGCUUUCGCCACCGGCGUUCCUUCCGAUAUCUACGCAUUUCACCGCUCCACCGGAAGUUCCACAUGCCCCUACCUCCCUCGAGGUGAUCAGUAUCAAAGGCACUUUUCCGGUUGAGCCGAAAGAUUUCACCCCUGACUUGAUCACCCGCCUACGCGCCCUUUAAGCCCAGUGAAUCCGAACAACGUUCGCACGGUUCGUCUUACCGCGGCGGCUGGCAC
rnacentral:rRNA from 1 species